CCUGAGUAGCUGCAGCAGACUGCCGGCCACCAGGUUGCCCCUCUCUAUCCAGGGACAUCUCUCCUCUCAGUUGACUGGCCUUGGUCUUCUCUCACCACAGCUGGAAAAGAAGGGGCAAUCUGACAACCUGAUACACUCCUCUCCUCUUUCUGCAGCUAGAAAGACUUGAGUUAGACAAGCAGACGCACACGCCUACCUACCUCAUGACUACAGAAAACGGAGCAGUUGAGCUGGGAAGCCAGAGCCUGUCAACAGAACAGACACCUAAAGCCGCUGCAGGUGAUGGACCUUCAGCUUCAGAAAAAGAACCCAGCGCCCCAGCCACAGAGAAAGACCUGAGCCCCCCUAACGCGAAGAAAGACCCGGGCGCGCCAGAUCCAAAGAACAAUCCAGAUCCACCCUCCCUGAAGAAAGAUCCCGCCAAAGCCCCUGGCCCAGAGAAAAAGGGUGACCCGGUCCCAGCUUCAGCCAGCAGCCAGGGCCCUUCAGGAGAGGGAGAUGGAGGUGGGGGACCUGCUGAAGGCAGUGAGGGGCCUCCUGCAGCCUUGCCCCUGCCCACUGCUACAGCCGAGGCCAGCAUCCAGAAGCUGGACCCCACGCAAGCACCCUCAGGCAACCAGGGAUCCGGAGAAGCCAAGGCAGGCAAGAAGGCAGCAGAAUGCCGCGAAGCAGGAAGAAGGGGCUCACCUGCCUUUCUCCACAGCCCUAGCUGCCCGGCUAUCAUCUCCUGCUCUGAGAAGACACUGGCUGUGAAGCCCCUAAGCGAGACAACAGACCUCGUCUUUACAGGGGUGUCUGUGACCCCUGACCCCCAAGAUCCUGGUCCAGUCAAAGCAGGAGGGACAAACGCCCUGGCAGAGAAGAAGAAGGAAGAGGCAGAGAAAGCCUCAGGCCAGGCCGGGCAGGCUAAGGUGCAAGGGGACACCCCCCAGAGGAUCGGGUUCCAGGCUGUUCCCUCAGAGAGAGUGGAGGUGGGGCAGGCCCUCUGUCUCACUGCCAGGGAGGAAGACUGCUUCCAAAUCCUGGAUGAUUGUCCACCGCCCCCAGCCCCCUUCCCACACAGGAUCGUGGAGCUGAGGACCGGAAAUGUCAACAGUGAAUUCAGCAUGAACUCAAAGGAGGCACUGGGAGGUGGCAAAUUUGGAGCUGUGUGCACCUGCACGGAGAGAGCCACAGGCCUCAAGCUGGCAGCCAAGGUCAUCAAGAAACAGACACCCAAGGACAAGGUGCCAGAGGAAUGUCACAGGACUGAAAAAUCCCCAACCCUAUGGGACCAGCACAUCAGAAUAUAGGGACAGAUAGAUGACUAAAGGCUGGAGCAAAAUGAAGAGCAUGACACCAGGUGUUGAGUGGUGACAGGAAGAAAGAGAAGCAGGACAGUGGCGGGGAGUUCUCUCAGAGGGACCAUGUUAGAUGUGGCCUCUCUGGGGAAGGAGUAGGCAAAGUGUGGGCUGGAUGAAGGAGUGGGAUGAAGGGCAGAGAGAUGCGGCUGUACAGCCUCGCUCUGACGCCUAGAGUUUAGCAGCUACCCUGGGGUGUGGGCACAAGGAGAGACCCGAUGAGCAUCAUGUGCCAAUUCCUGGUGUAAAUAUUCCUACCAUAGCUUCUAUCCGCCCACCAAUGAGACUGCUAAUCUGCUCACUUUCUGAAAGUUACAAGUGACAGUUGUUUAGCUUAGAAAGAGGGGGUAACGGGUGGCUGGGUUUCUUAUCUGGCUUAGAGUGGAACUGUGACAAAGGCCUUAAUGGUGGACUGUCAGUGGGCACAGAGACGAUUGCUCCUAGCUCUUUGUCCAUAAUGCUUGGGUGAAGGCUUAUGUCUUUUUUUUUUUUUUUUCCUUAAUGGCUGUACGAGAGUCAAUCAUAGAGAAGGGUGGUACCAAGGACUUAGCAUAUGAUAAAUCUGGGACCUUCUUAGAUUCCCCAAAGGGAAAUGGCAAAGAUGGCUGCUCUGUAUUUGAGGAUCCAUCCCAUUUCAUGGGUGGGGGUUGAACAGGGUCUUAUAGUGUGACCUAGGCGGGUCUUGAACUCUUGCCACUCCUGCCUCUGCCUCCUGGACUCCGAGAUUAGGAGCGUGUGCUACCACCUUUGGCUUUGGAAACUGAUCCCACCUGCCUACGACCCAGUUAUAGCUCUGCUGCAGGUGCUCAGGGCAAGGUCAUAGGGAGAGAGCGAUGGAGGCAAGAAUGCAGGUGGGGGGAGGCUGAAGUGGGUGUUGGCGCCCAGUGGGUCCUCUGGAUGUCCCUGUUCCUCAGGAAAUGGUGUUGCUGGAGAUCGAGGUCAUGAACCAGCUGAACCAUCGCAACCUGAUCCAGCUGUACGCAGCCAUUGAGACCUCUCACGAGAUCAUCCUGUUCAUGGAAUACAUCGAGGGCGGCGAGCUCUUUGAGAGGAUUGUGGAUGAAGACUACCAUCUGACGGAGGUGGACACCAUGGUGUUCGUCAGGCAGAUCUGCGACGGGAUCCUCUUCAUGCACAAGAUGAGGGUCCUGCAUCUGGACCUCAAGCCAGAGAACAUCCUGUGUGUGAAUACCACUGGGCACUUGGUGAAGAUAAUUGACUUUGGCUUGGCGAGGAGGUAUAACCCCAAUGAGAAACUGAAGGUGAAUUUUGGGACCCCGGAGUUCCUGUCACCGGAGGUGGUGAACUACGACCAAAUCUCUGACAAGACAGACAUGUGGAGCCUUGGGGUGAUCACCUACAUGCUACUGAGUGGCCUCUCUCCCUUCCUGGGAGACGAUGACACGGAGACCUUAAACAAUGUCCUGUCUGCCAACUGGUACUUUGAUGAGGAGACCUUUGAAGCUGUGUCAGAUGAGGCCAAAGACUUUGUCUCCAAUCUUCUCACGAAGGACCAGAGUGCCAGAAUGAGUGCUGAGCAGUGCCUCGCCCACCCCUGGCUCAACAACCUGGCAGAAAAAGCCAAACGCUGCAACCGUCGCCUCAAGUCCCAGAUCCUGCUUAAGAAAUACCUCAUGAAGAGGCGUUGGAAGAAAAACUUCAUUGCUGUCAGCGCAGCCAAUCGCUUCAAGAAGAUCAGUAGCUCGGGGGCACUGAUGGCUCUGGGGGUCUGAACCCCAGGAGCAGCUAAGCCUGGAUGCAGCUACGCGGUGGUCAAGGCUGAAACCACACAGCUCAGAAGGCCAGAGACAGCCAGCUGGCCAGAUCUCUAGAGCAGGCUGGUCAGGACAAAGCUGCAUCAGGCCCGGAGGCUUGGGGCUCCGCAGGUCCUUAGGCGAUACCGCUUCCCCUAUGUGAACAUGGAGUGGGGCCUGGAAUCCAUCUCGCUACCGCCUCCUCAGCGGGGCUGUGGCCUGUCAGCCCCACCCAGACUCCAAGGACGGCCAGACCAUUCCCUAGUCUCUCCCUAGCUUCCCCCUUUGAACUGCUGCCCUAGAGCCUCUUCUCUGCCCCACCUUGGGCAUCCUUGCCUGGAGCGGGAAGGCGGGGGUUCAGCAGGUGGGCUGCUAUGGUGGUGGGUGGAGAGCUUCCAGCAGGGGUCAGAAUGCAGUCCAGCUGCCGGGGGAGACAGAGCAGGCUUUGUGUGAGAGGACCUCUGUGGCCUGCUUCACACUCCCCACAGAUAGAGCCUCGCACACACCAUCUGGCCUCCUGGCCCCCACCUUCUGUUUUUGUGACCACCAACACACAGGAACUCUGAGAGAGAAAGCCAGCCCGGGCCUGGAGUGGUGGUGGUGGUGGUGGUGGUGGUGGUGGUGGUGGUGGUGGUGGUGGCGGGGAGAGACCUGGGAGGCAUGAGACUACCCCACCAAGUUUACUUGGGGACUGAGUCUUCCCAGCCUGACUACUCUGUGCCCAUCCCAGGAGCAGUCACAACCCCAAAUAACAGGAUGAACUGGCCCACGAGGAGUAUGAAGCCAUCGGGCAGACCCCAACCUGCUCUCAGCUUGUGCCUUGUAAAUAAAAACACAGGUUGGAGGCAGCCUCCUUCCCUUUGCACGUG